rnacentral:lncRNA from 1 species
ACUCUGGCACUAAGGGGCACCUCUGCCAGGUUAAAGGUGGCAGAAACUCUGAGGAAGUCAAAGUGCCUGAGCAUGUGGGCCACUUUCUCAGCGUUCCUCCCUUCAUUCAGGAAGUCCAACUCGAGAGGCAGGUUCUUCUUCGCUUCAUCCACCAGCCACAUGAAUUCAAAAUCUGGGAAAAGUUGCUUCACGGCCAGGACAAGCACCUGAAAGCCACCAAGCAACCUGUCAGCCAGUCAGCCCACGGCCCCCACCACGGAAGGUACAUGUCCUACCCCGCUGGGGGAUGAUUCUGUGCGCUGUGUAUUCAGAUGCUGAUUACUGGGCCCAGAGAUCAGGUCGCAGCCCUGACAGGCAUUGCCAAGCAUCUCCUGUCUUACUUUCAUGUAAAAAUUGUUUUCUGUCACCUCUGGUUGGUUAAUAAAGAGCUGAGCAGCCAAUA